rnacentral:lncRNA from 12 species
UACAGUGAGCAUUUUCCUUGUUUUUAUUGACUCUAGAGGCAAGGGUGUUCCUGCUGGACUGUGCUGCUCAACUGGACUGUGAGAAUCUUGCAACUGAGAAGCCACUCCUGACACCUCCUCACACAGGGCUUCACACGUGCCAGCGGCUGGACCAAGCCCUCUUCACGGAGUCCGCUGGGACGGGGGGCAGGUGUGUGAGCAAAGGAGAUGGGCUCCGUACGCACCUCGACUGUACCAUGUGGUUCACAGUUGCCGUGAUGUGGGAUCUGGGACCCCCACCGCCAACCUGGAGUUUGGUGAAACUCAGAGCGAGUCCAAGGUGUGCGUGUUACACUUACAACCAAGUCAAAGCGGGGUUGGGCGGGGGUGCACCGACAACCCCGAGAGGCCAGGCUUUCUGCCAGAACCAGAACCUGCUUUGGAUGUAGAAACAAGGCAAAUGCAGAAAGAAACAACGACCAGCCAAGGAACCGUUGCUUACACGUAGAACCUGCCUGUCCUGGUCUCUCACAGACCCUGAACACGAGGACUCGGAAGGAGAGGAAGGAUUGCAGAACCCAUAAUUCCUGCUCCUCUCUGACAGUCCUCACUCCAG